rnacentral:lncRNA from 1 species
UACAGGACAGUAAACAAGAUUAAUUAAUGGUUAACAAAUCUUAUCAAAAAUAAGAACAUGACUAUCCAACUAUGCAGCAACAUUCAAGAAGAAAGCAUAGCAGCACCAGACCAGAUCAGAUCAUUACUUCAACUUUUUCAAACUAGGAAAAAUCAAAUUCAAAACAGUAGAAAUCAAGAGGUCUAAACAAGCAGAACAUAGGUAACCUAUAUUGAUCCAAAUCUCUACACAUAAAUACACAACCUGAAUUUAAGAGGUCUCUAAUUAUGUUAUAACAAUGAGAUAAUUUUAUCAUUCUAGUCUUCUGCAGCAUCAUCAAUUU